CGGACGGGUGAGUAAUGUCUGGGAAACUGCCCGAUGGAGGGGGAUAACUACUGGAAACGGUAGCUAAUACCGCAUAACGUCGCAAGACCAAAGAGGGGGACCUUCGGGCCUCGCGCCAUCAGAUGAACCCAUAUGGGAUUAGCUAGUAGGUGAGGUAACGGCUUACCUAGGCGACGAUCCCUAGCUGGUCUGAGAGGAUGAUCAGCCACACUGGAACUGAGACACGGUCCAG
rnacentral:rRNA from 1 species